AGUAGCCCUGCUCAAUAUAUAUAUAUAUAUAUAGGCUGGUAUGAGGCCUUUGUGCUACCAAGUUGUUUUCAAUGAUGCCGCUUCCAAAUUGACGAUCGGCUCCAUUAGACUUGAUCUACACUACUAAAAAUAUUUGAAAACUAAAUUUCAUAAUUUUUCGACAUCAUUUGGCUAGUGAUCUUUGGCACCGUUUGAUUCGGGUAUAAACAAGAACUAACUAUUAUAGAGAUGGGUACAAGUAUGGGGAUAAAAAAAAUAUCGUUUGAAUGAAAAUUGGGUUGUUCCCAGGGAUAUGAAAAAUAGCGUUUGGAUAGAUAAUAUGGAAUAAGAAAAAUAGUGGAUAGUUAUAUAUAGAAAAUGGAGCUAUUGGUGGGGAUAGUUAUACCAGCUUAUUUCAGGUACUGGAGAACUACUAUUUUCGGAUAAAAAAUUAGCGUUUGGGUAUAAAGGAGGGGGUAAGGGGUUAUUCCACCCCUUAUCCCCAAUCCAAAUGGGCCCAAAAGGUCUCAAAAUUGAUAAUGUUAAUGGUAGAUGUGAUGCAUAUUUUUAUUUUCAACCGUUCAUUUUUAGACUACUCGUUUGAUAGGUAAUAAUACCGAAAAAUUAUGAAAUUUAGUUUCCAAACACUUUCAAUAGUGUAGAUCAAGUUUAACGGAGCCGAUCGUCGAUUUGGAAGCGGUAUCAUUGAAAACAACUUGGUAGCACAGAGGCCUCCGUGCUACUGAUAGUAUACGAGCCUAACUAUCUGAAUUUAUUUCAAUUCCUUUUCUACUCGUCUAAAAAGUUUGGAACUCAGUUUUUUUUUUCUUUCGGUACUUCAUUUCUAUCUGAAUUUAUUUCAAUUCGAUUCAACCUCAGUCUAAAACUUUCAAAACACAUUUUAUUCAUAUCUAGCAUAACUUAAUUCCUACUAUGUUUAAUUUAAUCAAA
rnacentral:lncRNA from 1 species